UUGAAGGUAGACAAACUGAAGGGUGGUGCUUUUAUUUUGAAGGUAGAACAAAAUGAAGGGUGGUGCUUUUAUUUUGAAGGUAGACAAACUGAAGAGCGGUGCUUUUAUUUUGAAGGUAGAACAAAAUGAAGGGUGGUGCUUUUAUUUUGAAGGUAGAACAAAAUGAAGGGUGGUGCUUUUAUUUUGAAGGUAGACAAACUGAAGAGCAGUGCUUUUAUUUUGAAGGUAGACAAACUGAAGUGUGAUGCUUUUAUUUUGAAGGGAGACAUACUGCUUUUAUUUUGAAGGUGGACAAACUGAAGUGUGAUGCUUUUAUUUUGAAGGUAGACAAACUGCUUUUAUUUUGAAGGUGGACAAACUGAAGUGUGGUGCUUUUAUUUUGAAGCUGGACAAACUGCUUUUAUUUUGAAGGUGGACAAACUGUAGUGUGAUGCUUUUAUUUUGAAGCUGGACAAACUGCUUUUAUUUUGAAGGUAGACAAACUGAAGGGUGGUGCUUUUAUUUUGAAGGUAGAACAAACUGAAGGGUGGUGUUUUUAUUUUGAAUGUAGAACAAAAUGAAGGGUGGUGCUUUUAUUUUGAAGGUAGACAAACUGAAGUGUGAUGCUUUUAUUUUGAAGCUGGACAAACUGCUUUUAUUUUGAAGGUAGACAAACUGAAGGGUGG